AUCGCUCUCUUUAGCUUCCCGGCCUGAUGGGGAGUCAGUUACCCUGUUUUGAUGUCGUGUCCAACAGAUGGUGGCCCAACAAUGCCAGUGACACCCCGAGUGUCGCGUCUGCCUCAAUGUCAUCCUUUUAUGCUCUGUGGUCUAGUGACGGUUUACGAUCGUGCAGCCUGAUAACUGAAGAGUAUAUAAAAGACAGCACUUACUCGGCUUGGGCACGUUCCUCUUGACUUGCAUCCACUUGUAGGUGGGCACUGGCGCUGGUUUGGGCUGCGAGAGGCCCGGCCUGGAUAGCGAGCCUUGGAAGCCCGAGCCGUUGUGCUGGCAACUGGCAUCCCGCAUCACAUCGUAGCUGUCAGCGUAGGCGCCGUAUCCAUUUCGUCGUUGCAGUGACAGUGGGUCCAAAUAGGGCGCAUAAGUGUGUGGUCCAACGGCACGGUCCGAGUGGAGGUGGUCGGCCUGGGGAGCAGGGGCCGCGUGGUGCACUCCGGUGACUGGUUCCCCCAUGUGAGUAUAGUCCAGGUUGCCUCGGUACGGAAAGGCCGCAGCGGUGGGUGCUGGCCUAGGGCUUCCUGCGCCGCCCGGAGAUCCGUAACCCCCGGGGGCGGCCGGGUGCAUGGUCGCGCCGCCGCCACCACCACUGCCCCGGUGGAGGUAUCCGGCGGCUGCAGCGGCGGCGGCGGCCUGCUGAUCAAGAUUCGUGUAGCUGAGCCCGUUGUUGUCAUUGAUGAUUUGGUGGUGACUCAUGUCUCCGUGGAGUGGUGGUGUUCGCGGAUCCGGGAAGGCAGCCAUGGUCCCGUAAGGGUUGUCUGGUGGUCCCGGGAAGUACACUUGAUGGGUCGUGUGCAGGUCGUAUGGCUGUGACGGGUAAGGUGCCGUCGCCCCGUCGGCGUUGUGACACAUGCUCGCGUAGACGACAUUAGAAUUCAUUAUGCGGCCGGCCCCCGAGCGACCGCUGCUUUUGCCGCACGGGAGGACGAGCCGCAAAUUAGCUCGGCCACUCGCGGAUAAAUCGGAAAAUAAAUGGAUGCUAAAUCAUUGGCAACAGUUGACAGGAAAUAUGAGCGGUAAAUAAAUCACGUGACAGCCCCAAAACGAGCCAAUGAGGAGCGGUUUCGCCGCGGCUUCUCCACCUCUCCAAAGAAGUCCCGCGCUGUGAUAGAUGGCCCCCACAGGCCUCCUCGCACUCCAAAGCUGAGACCAGCCCGCAGAACAGUUGCCUGUGAUCACCUCCGUAGGGUCAUCGCUGCUGCUUCAGGACCAUACUCGCAGAUGACUCGUGAUCCAAGCUGGUAGCACAACACGGCCCGUCCCCAUGGUAACCUGCGGACGAGCGCAAGUCAGGGCAUCACGUACGAACAACGUUCAGCGACUGGGACGAGGCACUAAGCCAGCGAGCCACUCAUCUAGAAACAACGUGCAGCGAGACAAGAGGCUCGUCCAGCGCUCGUCGAGUAUUCCUUCUCGAGUCGUUGGGAAUUCAGACUGUGCAGUCGCCCCAGGAAACUGCUUGGCGGACUCGUUUUCUUGCUUCUCCGUGACAGCAGCGGCCCCACCUAGAGCCAAGGCCGUUUGGGGAACAUGAUUGAGAAGCGCCACGAAAAAUGGACCUUGCGGUUGGCGCCAUGACCUUGGAGACGCGGCCCCAUCUGCCGCUGUGACGCAAAGAGCACAGUGCGACGUAGAAGUAUACCGGGUCUCACCACAUCGAUCUCAUGACUAGAGGGAAAGCUGAAAUAUUCUAACAGUCGCCAUCGUGAUAUAGGGCACCUGACAAUGUGUCGUGCCGAGGAUGUAUGCAGCCAUCACUCGGAGCCGUGAUACAGGUGAUGCUGCCGGUAAUAAAUCAAGACCUUACGUGGUGAGGCAAUUGUGAUGACGAUCGACGUCGCAGUGCAGCGCAUGAGCAACGAAGAAAGAAACAACGGAGGAGGGUACGGGAACUUCACGUGAGGUCCAUCCUGUGGCCUCCCGCGGCUGAUUACUCCUAGUGUUUCUGUAAAUUUGACUACGCAGUGACGAUACACGGCACAGCGAAUACAUUUUGCAUAGUUACUCCUGAUGGAAAGCUUGACGAAUGAGACACGGUUUGGAGCCACGCUAAGUGCCACCUGAUUGCUAUUUCAAGCAAGUUGCAUCCUGCAAGCAAGUUACUGACGGUUUCGGCCGAGAUGGAACCCACAACUUUGAGAUUGGUUGAUGGACACACCAGCAACCGAUCCACAAAGGCCCGUAAAUUACUAAAAAUACAAUAAAAAACCCUCAAUGCAAGGGGACGGCAAGGGCUUCAUCUUAUCAGUGCUUCAUCUGUGUCGUCCUUUCUCGUCCCCCUGCACUGAGGGUUUCUAUCGCUUUUAGUAUGCUUUACCAAACAGUCCAGUUUUUAAUCUUAUUUAGCCAAUAAGUAAUUUCGCAAACACCAUAUACUCUGAAAAAGAAAGGAGAUGAUAAAGAAAAGGUGGUCAUGGUCAUCGUCGAAAGAUGAAGUAUGUUCUAUCGAUUCUCUCCUGUAGAAUUUCAGAUUUUUCGAGAUUUUCAGGAACUGUGGAGUCAGGAGUGAGGAAGAUGAAGGGCUCCGACGAUGAGGCGGUCAGGUGACCAAGCCAAGAAAAGGGCCGGCGAGCCGCAAGGAUGACAGACUGGGUGCGUGGCACUGACAAACACGAGCUCGAGACUGGGAGCCUACGGACAAUAAACCGUUGACCACCAUACUAAACCGGCCUGGUAUUCUUG